GCUAGCGUGGCAGACCGGCAAAUGCAA
rnacentral:tRNA from 1 species